AAUUCGCUCCUUGCGUUCACUGUUGAGCCUAUAUGUUGUUAAUAUGAAUCAUAAGGCACGCGGUGAAUGCCAAGAUCGAAUGA
rnacentral:pre_miRNA from 1 species